rnacentral:rRNA from 1 species
UACGUAGGGUGCGAGCGUUAAUCGGAAUGACUGGGCGUAAAGGGUGCGCAGGCGGUUGGUUAAGACGGAUGUGAAAGCCCCGGGCUCAACCUGGGAACGGCAUUCGUGACUGGCCGACUAGAAUAUGGCAGAGGGAGGUGGAAUUCCACAUGUAGCAGUGAAAUGCGUAGAGAUGUGGAGGAACACCGAUGGCGAAGGCAGCCUCCUGGGCCAAUAUUGACGCUCAGGCACGAAAGCGUGGGGAGCAAACAGG